rnacentral:Y_RNA from 1 species
GGGUCUGAGUGCAGUGGUGUUUACAGCUUACUGAACACAACCAGUUACCGAUAUCUUUGUUCCUUCUCCACUGCCACUGUUUCACCUGACUAGCCUUGA